AAUGAACGUUGGCGGCGUGGAUUAGGCAUGCAAGUCGAGCGAGAACCGUAGCAAUACGGGGACAGCGGCGAAAGGGAGAGGAAUACGCGGGUACCUACCCUCGGAUCUGGGAUAGCCACGGGAAACUGUGGGUAAUACCAGAUGAUGUCUUCGGACCAAAGGUGUGAUUCCGUCCGGGGAGGGGCCCACGUCCUAUUAGCUAGUUGGUGGGGUAACGGCCUACCAAGGCAAUGCUGGGUACGGGGCGUGAGAGCGUGCCCCCGCUCACUGGGACUGAGACACUGCCCAGACACCUACGGGUGGCUGCAGUCGAGGAUCUUCGGCAAUGGGCGCAAGCCUGACCGAGCGACGCCGCGUGCGGGAUGAAGGCCUUCGGGUUGUAAACCGCCGUCGGAGGGGAGGAAAUGCUUAGGGGUUCUCCCCUAGGUUUGACCUAUCCUCAGAGGAAGUACGGGCUAAGUUCGUGCCAGCCGCCGCUGUAAAAC
rnacentral:rRNA from 1 species